GACGAACGCUGGCGGCGUGCUUAACACAUGCAAGUCGAGCGGAGCGGCGGACGGGUGAGUAAUGCCUAGGAAUCUGCCUGGUAGUGGGGGAUAACGUCCGGAAACGGGCGCUAAUACCGCAUACUAUCAGAUGAGCCUAGGUCGGAUUAGCUAGUGGGUGGGGUAAAGGCCUACCAAGGCGACGAUCCGUAACUGGUCUGAGAGGAUGAUCAGUCACACUGGAACUGAGACACGGUCCAGACUCCUACGGGAGGCAGAAGUGGGGAAUAUUGGACAAUGGGGGAAAGCCUGAUGCAGCAAUGCCGCGUGUGUGAAGAAGGUCUUCGGAUUUAAAAGUCCUUUAAGUUGGGAGGCGUUACCAACAGAAUAAGCACCGGCUAACUUCGUGCCAGCAGCCGCGGUAAUAC
rnacentral:rRNA from 1 species